AUUUAUUUUGGGUAUACACAGUAGCAGGAUUGUAUCUUUGAGGGGCAGACACCUGCACCAUUUUUCUUUCCCACCAGCAAUGCCUGAAGGCUGCUAUUUCUCCACAUCCUCACCAACACCUGUUAUAAUGUCCUUUUGAUAAGAGCCAUUCUAGCACUUCUGGUUACAUCUUGCUCCAUUUAAAAAAGAAAAGUCUGCCUGUUUGUAAUCUCACAUCUAACCUUCCAUGUCUGUUUUCUUCUUUAUAUCAAGCCCACGGUUUGCUGUCCGGCACAUUACUCCGGAAUGAAUGAGUGAAUGGCCUCAAACGUCCCCAUGCUCCCUGCUUUCAGACCUGGAGGGCAGAAUGGAGCCAUGAUUCCAGACAUGGGAUUACUGAACGGCACGAGGUGGUCUUCUGGGUCUGACGUGAAAUCUACAGAAAUGCGCGAGAAAGCACCAGGAAUGGGAAUCUCUAAGCUUUAUCUCUGGGCCACGUGUAAGGGGCUCUCCCUCUGGAAGAGAAAGAGUUGGGGGCCAGUAUCUCCUCCAUUGCUGACUUCCGAGAAGGAUUUAAGCCAGAUUGUUGCUCUUCCGUGAGUGGCACUGGUUAUAAAUACUUGCAGUAUUUGUCCUUUUUGUUUCGUUCCAUAAAGUAAUUUCAUUUUUCAGUGUGCACAGUACCCAGGUUUGCUGUCCCACAUUGCAAUGCUGUUCAGACCAAAUCUUUCCACAGCUUCCCAAUCUCAUCUCAGCAUCUCUUGCUUGGCGUGCGUAGUCGUGCUGCAAUCCGAGUGAACUCAUUUUAGCUGCGUAUUAUACUCUGUAAGUAAAAAAGACAAAGGGUUUAGACAAAUUUGUUGUUGUUGUCUAGCCCUAAGUCAUGUCUGACUCUUGUGACCCAUGGACUGUAUGGAGCUCACCAGGCUCCUCUGUCCAUGGGAUUUCCCAGGCAAGAAUACUGGAGUGGGUUGCCAUUUCCUCCUCCAGGGGAUCUUCUCAACCCUGGGACUGAACCUGCAUCUCCUGCAUUGGUAGUCG
ensembl:lncRNA